AUACUUACCUGGCAGGGGAGACACCAUGAUCAAUCAGGUGGUUUUCCCAGGCUGGGGGAGAUGCCAUGAGCUGUAAGGUGGUGUUUCUGCUGACUUGGUGCAGC
rnacentral:snRNA from 1 species